rnacentral:rRNA from 1 species
UGCAAGUCGAGCGGUAGCACAGAGAGCUUGCUCUCGGGUGACGAGCGGCGGACGGGUGAGUAAUGUCUGGGAAACUGCCUGAUGGAGGGGGAUAACUACUGGAAACGGUAGCUAAUACCGCAUACGAUCUAAGGAUGAAAGUGGGGGAUCGCAAGACCUCAUGCUCCCGGAGCGGCCGAUAUCUGAUUAGCUAGUUGGUAGGGUAAAAGCCUACCAAGGCAUCGAUCAGUAGCUGGUCUGAGAGGACGACCAGCCACACUGGAACUGAGACACGGUCCAGACUCCUACGGGAGGCAGCAGUGGGGAAUUUUGGACAAUGGGCGCAAGCCUGAUCCAGCAAUGCCGCGUGAGUGAAGAAGGCCUUCGGGUUGUAAAGCUCUUUUGUCAGGGAAGAAAAGGGUGCGGCUAAUAUCUGCGCCUCAUGACGGUACCUGAAGAAUAAGCACCGGCUAACUACGUGCCAGCAGCCGCGGUAAUACGUAGGGUGCAAGCGUUAAUCGGAAUUACUGGGCGUAAAGCGUGCGCAGGCGGUUUUGUAAGACUGUCGUGAAAUCCCCGGGCUCAACCUGGGAAUGGCGAUGGUGACUGCAAGGCUAGAGUUUGGCAGAGGGGGGUAGAAUUCCACGUGUAGCAGUGAAAUGCGUAGAUAUGUGGAGGAACACCGAUGGCGAAGGCAGCCCCCCUGGGUCAAAACUGACGCUCAUGCACGAAAGCGUGGGGAGCAAACAGGAUUAGAUACCCUGGUAGUCCACGCCCUAAACGAUGUCUACUAGUUGUCGGGUCUUAAUUGACUUGGUAACGCAGCUAACGCGUGAAGU